GUGUUUGUCCUUGCUUAUUAACCAUUAAUAUGAAUCUAAUUCCCAUUCCUCCUCUUCUCUAAUUUACUGAGUCGACGAUCUCUUCUUCAACAACAACCUCAGACAGAGAGAGCUGUGAUUUUAUUUCUCCAGCAGGGGAUCAAGGCAGGUAGCUCUGUAAUUGCAUUUAUUAAUUCAUUAUGAAAUGAAAUUACGAUUAGGGGGGAUUUUUAUUUUCUUCAGCACUUGGAUUUCGAUAUAAAAAAAAAAAAAAAAGGUCGUUUCCUGUAAUUAUGAGUCUGUAUAGCAAUUAAAAGUAAUUACGAAGGAAAAAAAGGAGAAAGAAAACCUGUUGCUCGGUGCGAGCGAGGCAUUUGCGAACAAUUUCGCCCUCAAGAGCACGGCGUUCUUCGAGGGUGAGCCACUCGUAGUAUUGGGCAAGACGUGUUUGUCCUUGCUUAUUAACCAUUAAUAUGAAUCUAAUUCCCAUUCCUCCUCUUCUCUAAUUUACUGAGUCGACGAUCUCUUCUUCAACAACAACCUCAGACAGAGAGAGCUGUGAUUUUAUUUCUCCAGCAGGGGAUCAAGGCAGGUAGCUCUGUAAUUGCAUUUAUUAAUUCAUUAUGAAAUGAAAUUACGAUUAGGGGGGAUUUUUAUUUUCUUCAGCACUUGGAUUUCGAUAUA
rnacentral:lncRNA from 1 species